rnacentral:rRNA from 1 species
AAAGGAAUAGACGGGGACCCGCACAAGCGGUGGAGCAUGUGGUUUAAUUCGAAGCAACGCGAAGAACCUUACCAGGCCUUGACAUCCCAAGGAAAGCUUCUUAACCGGAGCCCCUCUUCGGAGUCUUGGAGACAGGUGGUGCAUGGUUGUCGUCAGCUCGUGUCGUGAGAUGUUGGGUCAAGUCCCGCAACGAGCGCAACCCUUGUCCGUAGUAGCCAGCAGUAAGAUGGGAACUCUACGGAGACUGCCGGGGAUAACCCGGAGGAAGGUGGGGAUGACGUCAAAUCAUCAUGCCCCUUACGGUCUGGGCGACACACGUGCUACAAUGGCGUAACAAAGGGAAGCGAGCCCGCGAGGGGGAGCAAACCCCAAAAAUAGCGUCCCAGUUCGGACUGUAGUCUGCAACCCGACUACACGAAGCCGGAAUCGCUAGUAAUCGCGGAUCAGAAUGCCGCGGUGAAUACGUUCCCGGGUCUUGUACACACCGCCCGU